rnacentral:rRNA from 1 species
GACGAACGCUGGCGGCGUGCUUAACACAUGCAAGUCGAACGGAAAGGCCCUGCUUUUGUGGGGUUCUCGAGUGGCGAACGGGUGAGUAACACGUGAGUAACCUGUCCUUGACUUUGGGAUAACUUCACGAAACUGGGGCUAAUACCGCAUAGGAGCUCUUGCUGCAUGGUGGGCGUUGGAAAGUUUCGGUGGUUGGGGCUGUACUCGCGGCUUAUCGGCUUGUUGGUGGGGUAGUGGCUUACCAAGGCUUUGACGGGUAGCCAGCCUGGGAGGGUGACCGGCCACAUAGGGCGUGAGAUAGGGCCCGGACUGAAACGGGAGCAAGCGGUGAGAAAGAUAGCACACAGGGCGGAAGACGGAUGGAGCAACGUCGGGUGGGGGAUGACGGCUUUCGGGUUGAAACAGAUUUGGCAUGUGACGAAGCGUGAUUGACGGUAAUGGGUAAAGAAGCACCGGCUAACUACGUG